GGAGGGGCGGAAGGUUGCAUGCCGAGGUCCGGGUGGCUCGUUAAACAAUCCGGGACGCAUUAAGCGCCGACAAUUACGAUUACGCUUUAGCAGCUUAAUAACCUGCUAACGUUCUACCUACCAUCUCCCACGUGGGAGGAUAGAACGUCAUUCAGUGGGAUAGUUUCAGGGAGAGUCCGUGGCCCUGCGGCGAAAUCAAGCGGAAUCGCGACUCAAGAAUCCCGCCCUGUGGAGUCUUGAAGGGCUAAACCCAAAAACAGGUACAAGCAUGUAGACGCCUUUUGUGUACGAUUCUCGGACGCGGGUUCGAUUCCCGCCACCUCCACCA
rnacentral:tmRNA from 2 species